rnacentral:other from 1 species
UGUUCCCUGCGGUGUUCGUCAAGGCCAUAGACUCCUUGGACCAAUGCUGAUUGGCAUCGGUGGCUGACCAAGAAGCCGCUGUUGUGUCCGCCCCUUCGCGGGUGGGCCUGAUGCGGAAGGAAAGCCGCCUCUUCUGGACCCAGGUUCGGGAUGCCGGCUUAAACGGCACACGCGGGGAACUC